AGCCAUUAGCCUAAACAAGUAUUAAAGGUAACGCCUGCCCAGUGAGAAACUUUUUCUUAAACGGCCGCGAGACAACCGUGCGAAGGUAGCGAAAUCACUUGUCUCCUAAAUAGAGACCAGUAUGAAAGGCCUCAUGAGAAAGAAACUGUCUCUUAAGGGUAGCCAAUGAAACUGAUCUGCCUGUGCAAAAGCAGGCAUAACAUAACAAGACAAAAAGACCCUGUGAAACUUUAAAUAAAACGCCAACCACAUGGUGAUUCUUUUAGGUUGGGGCAACCAAAGAGAAACAAAACCUCUUCUAUACAUCUAGACCAACAAGUCCAACUAAAUACUAGACGACCCAGUAAAACUGAUCAAUGAACCAAGCUACUCCAGGGAUAACAGCGCCAAAUUCUUAAAGAGUCCACAUCAACAAGAAUUCUUACGACCUCGAUGUUGGAUCAGGUUACCCAAACAGUGCAAAAGCUGCUAAUGGUUCGUUUGUUCAACGAUUAAAAUCCU
rnacentral:rRNA from 1 species